rnacentral:rRNA from 1 species
UACGUAGGGGGCGAGCGUUGUCCGGAUUUACUGGGCGUAAAGGGCGUGUAGGCGGUUGGAUAAGUCUGACGUGAAAUUCUAAGGCUCAACCUUGGAGCUGCGUCGGAAACUGUCUGACUGGAGUUCGGUAGGGGUCACUGGAAUCCCCGGUGUAACGGUGAAAUGUGUAGAUAUCGGGGGGAACACCUGUGGCGAAGGCGGGUGACUGGGCCGCAACUGACGCUGAGACGCGAAAGCGUGGGGAGCAAACAGG